UACGGAAGGUGCAAGCGUUAGUCGGAAUUACUGGGCGUAAAGGGUGCGUAGGCGGUGAUGUAGGUCGGACGUGAAAUUCCGAAGCUCAACUUCGGAGCUGCAUCCGAAACCACAUCGCUAGAGGAAUGGCGGAGAAAAUGGAAUUCCAUGUGUAGCGGUGAAAUGCGUAGAUAUAUGGAAGAAUACCUGUGGCGAAAGCGAUUUUCUAGCCUUCUCCUGACGCUGAGGCACGAAAGCAAGGGGAGCAAACAGGAUUAGAUACCCGCGUA
rnacentral:rRNA from 1 species